GCUGGCGGCAUGGCUAAAGCAUGCAAGUCGAACGAGAAGCGGGCUUCGGCCCGUGGACAGUGGCGAAAGGGUGAGUAACGCGUUCCUUACGUGCCCCGAGGUGGGGGAUAGGUCGGAGAAAUCCGGCGUAAUACCCCAUGUCCUCUCCGGAGAAAAGGCUUCGGCCGCCUUGGGAGCGGGGAGCGUCCUAUCAGGUUGUUGGUGAGGUAACGGCUCACCAAGCCGAAGACGGGUAGCGGGUGUGAGAGCAUGGCCCGCCACAUCGGGACUGAGACACUGCCCGGACUCCUACGGGAGGCUGCAGCGACGAAUAUUCCGCAAUGCGCGAAAGCGUGACGGAGCAAUGCCGCGUGCAGGAUGAAGCGGCUUCGCCGUGUAAACUGCUGUCAGGGUGCAGGAAUACUGACCAUACCCAGAGGAAGGACCGGCUAACCUCGUGCCAGCAGCCGCGGUAAGACGAGGGGUCCAAGCGUUAAUCGGAAUCACUGGGCUUAAAGGGUACGUAGGCGGCCCUGUAAGCAUCUCGUGAAAUCCCACGGCUCAACCGUGGAAUUGCGGGGUGAACUACAGGGCCUUGAGGCA
rnacentral:rRNA from 1 species